GCAACCGCUGCCGCCGAGUGAUUUCCGCCGCCGCUUCCCUCUGACUCGGAACCCCUCUGGGCUGCGCCUCCCUUGUGACCCUGUUUUUCCGCUCGCACCGCAGGCGGCCGGGCAGGAGUCGCGGGGUCAGCGCGCUGGGGGCACUCGCAGCUCUCCGGUCAACCCCAGCGAGCCGUCGGCGGCUGCAGAGCCGGCUCUUCUCAGUCCCUCCAGCGGCGGCUGCUGCUUCCUCUCACCCCGGGAGCAUGCUGUUUACAUCUGAAACGUGAACAUGGUGAAGAAAAGCCAUGCCAUGAACAGGAUAGCUCUUUCUUGGAGUCUCUGUAAAUCCUGCUGGUAGGAUACAUACUGAGUAUAUAUUUUGCUUCUGAGAAGACCAAGGAAAACUAUUUUCGAAUGGGAUGAAUAUGCAGCCAUUGACUACUUACGAACUAUAAUUUAAUGACUGAUUAAUCAUCAGGAGCACUUAAUUAGUGAUGUUUCCAUUCUCACAUUAUCCUGUUUGAGUUCGUUUGCCUUGAUUUAAAAAAAAAAAAAUUCAAAG
rnacentral:lncRNA from 1 species